ensembl:lncRNA
AUUUGUCGUCGUCUUUUCCAAUUCCACUUACUCGCCUAACCAGUCCUAAUUAGUCAGAAUUAGUUGAUUGCGUUCACCUGUUUUCCUCUGUCAGUGUUCAGAUGUGAAUGUGUUGUCCUAUAGCCUGUGAUCCUUGCUGCUGUCUUGCUUGUUUUCGUUUUACUAUAAUCUUUUUCUAAAUACUGUCAAAUUCCUACAUAUAUAAUAUAAAGGUUGAGAUUGUACACUAGAUUUUGUAUUCCUGACAUCUGAGUUCAUAGUUCCUAGAUGCUCAAACAUGCAUUAUAUUGUUUGUGUCCAGGAUGGUGGGUCAGUACCGGACCAGACUUCAGCUCUGUCAGAACCACCAGAGGGAAACCACUGAGUUGCUGCAGUAUAUAACCAGGGUCAGAUGAACAUAUUGAGUCAAGAUAAGAUUACUCUAUUAAUCCCUGAAGGGAAAUUCCAGCAGGAGGCCUUCAAAUAAGAAGGGCAUUCAAGAGCUGACCUGGACUCACAUAACCAUGAGCGCUCACGUUAGCGACAGCUGCAGCAACGAGUCAGUCUGGACGGAGCUGUUACUACAGUCCAACAUCGAGCAGUUUGACAAGGUCCAGGAGAACUUCCUGUCUGUGGACCAGCAGACCUCUACCUUCCAGGCCCACCUGGACGGGCUGGAACGGGGGGCUCCUGACGGACAAGCCACUGGUCCCCCAACCUGUUCCUCCUCCUCCUCUUCCUCCUCCAGUGCUGCCGGUCGGAUUGGCCCCCGCCACGUUGAGCCCGCCCCUGCCUCCGACACUGUCUCCUCAUUGGACGAAUCCAACCAGGCUUUCCCCUCCUUGGGCGAGGAUAUCGCCCAAACCCUCUGCGAGAGGUCGGCCCUUCAGUUCUCCUCCGCCUUUGGACGCCUUCGGAAAUCUGGAAAGAAGAAAUGAUUCUUAUUUUAUGUUAUUUAAAAAUGUUGCUCUACGGCUUGCGUCAGAGUUACUUAUAUGCGUGUAGCAUUUUCAAGUGUUGAUCGUUUGACUUUUGCUGUUUACUUGUAUUGCAUGUAUUUAUUUGUAACUUUUCAAAGUUUUAUUUUAAUGCAUGAUUGUUAUGAUGCGUCGUCUUCGAAUUAUUAAUUAUUAAUGAAUCACUUUGCAAAACAAAUUAUGUUGUACCGCUGCUUAUCUUUUAGCCUGGUUUAUUACAAAUCGGAUGCCCUCAGAGAAUGAAUGAUUAAACUGUCAGACACAAGGGGGCGUCACACCACCAGGGAUCCGUGCAGUCACCUGCUCAACCAUCACCAUAAAGACAACACGUCUCAUUCAAUACAUCCAGACGCUUCUCUUCAUUUAGUUUCAUGAGGAGAUAGCCAGGUUGUCUGUUCUGUCUGGCUGUUCACCAUAUGGUCUAUAAACACAUUCCUGCACAUGAUUUAACCAUUUUCUGCCAAAGCCCUUUUCUUCCUUUAACUAUUUUCCAAGUUUUAUUGAGGGUCAUCUCAUAUUUUUCUGGUAUGAGACUAAUUCAAUGAGAAAUGUUUUCUAAACUUGAAGCGCAUGAUGAAAAGUGUAUAUGCAAUUCCCCCCCCUCCUCCCCCCCAGUCUUUCAUUUGCUGCUCGCUUUGAACCCUUAUCCAGUGUGACAGAGCUACUUUAGCAGUUAGCUGCAAGCUAAAUGGAUUCCUAUAUGUCCAUGAUUUUAAUAAAAAGGCCCCAACGUCCGAAAGCCUGGAGGGGGAAAAACAUAGAAGUUUUAAGCAAUACCAGACAUUUCCUCGCCCCCCUCCUCCCCUUCCCCAGUCCUGUCUCCCUUUAUCAGAGGCAGUGGACGACAUGAUUUGAGAGCUUCAAAGCAGGGAUUUAAGGUUGGAG